rnacentral:lncRNA from 1 species
GUCUUUUGGCCUAACCCGAAUAUUAGGGGUGAUGAAUUGAUACAAAAAGUUAGGAUAUUCCUUCAAUAAGGAAUGCCCCAUGUAGCGGAUUAGAUUGAUCAACAGACCUUUGAUGUGAGCCUUCAAAGCGCACUAUUCACAUUUUUCAUAAUUUCUUUCACUUUCGUUUGUUUGUAAGCAACAAGAAUAUACUUUUUUCUUUUACCGUAAUAAAGAAAUGCCUUCUUCUGAUCUUCAAUUAUUAUAUACAAUAUACAAAGAAAAUAAACUUUUAAUUCGUGCAUCGUAAUAAUAAUUGGUUUGAUAUUUAGUCAUCGAGAGAAAGUUUUCAUCGAAAUGAAUAGAUUCAUACUUAAAACCAUCCACCAUUCAAUUGGACAAAAGCAAGAAUUAACAACAAAUGAUAUAUAUCAUCAAGAGUGAAGAAUUUUGCCAAUCAUGUCACAACGGUACUGAUCAGAACACUGAAUGUUGAAGAAGACAUCGAACAACUUCCAAAAUGAUCCAUCGUGAGAGG